GUUCGCGGCGGCUUCGCUGUGAUCUCCAAACCGCUGGAAACACCCCAAACGUCCACCAGCAGGGGGGCACAGAUGAACAAGCCGAGGGAAGGUGAUGCCAACCCCGGUGUGAAGGCGGCGGUGUGAGCAGUGGGAUUCCGAUUUCAGCUCUGAGGCAGAGUCCACAGGCCGUGCAGGCGCCCCUUGCAAGCCCCUGUUCGCCCCCAGUGGAGUGGACAUCCUAGACCGGCACGGGACAACGGAUACGACGAAGCCACAGAUAAGGGCACAUGGGUAACUUAAAAUUCCCCAGCAUCCACGUUUUCAAAAGUGGAAAAUAAAUAGAUGCAAUUAA